rnacentral:tRNA from 1 species
GUCCCUGUAGCGCAAUGGAUAGCGCGUUGGACUCCUAAUUCAAAGGUCGUGGGAUUGAUUCCGCCUGGGAUG